ACAUGGUACAGUGUGAAAAACUCCGGUGGUAUGAGAUGGACCCGCGUCUGAUUAGCUGGUUGGCGGGCAACGGCCACCAAGGCUACGAUCAGUAGGGUUCUGAGAGGAAGGUCCCCCACAUUGGUACUGAGACACGGACCAAACUCCUACGGGAGGCAGCAGUGAGGAAUAUUGGUCAAUGGGCGGAAGCCUGAACCAGCCAAGUCGCGUGAGGGAGGACGGUCCUACGGAUUGUAAACCUCUUUAGCCGGGGAGUAAAGUGCGUGACGUGUCACGCAUUGAGAGUACCCGGAGAAUAAGCAUCGGCUAACUCCGUG
rnacentral:rRNA from 1 species